rnacentral:rRNA from 1 species
UACGAAGGGGGGCUAGCGUUGCUCGGAAUGACUGGGCGUAAAGGGCGCGUAGGCGGCUUGUAUAGUCGGAUGUGAAAUUCCUGGGCUUAACCUGGGGGCUGCAUACGAGACGUAUGGGCUUGAGUGCGGAAGAGGGUCGUGGAAUUCCCAGUGUAGAGGUGAAAUUCGUAGAUAUUGGGAAGAACACCGGUGGCGAAGGCGGCGACCUGGGUAGAUACUGACGCUGAGGUGCGAAAGCGUGGGGAGCAAACAGG